UACGAAGGGCGCUAGCGUUGCUCGGAAUCACUGGGCGUAAAGGGUGCGUAGGCGGGCCUUUAAGUCUGGGGUGAAAUCCUGGAGCUCAACUCCAGAACUGCCUUUGAUACUGAGGAUCUUGAGUUCGGGAGAGGUGAGUGGAACUGCGAGUGUAGAGGUGAAAUUCGUAGAUAUUCGCAAGAACACCAGUGGCGAAGGCGACUCACUGGCCCGAUACUGACGCUGAGGUGCGAAAGCGUGGGGAGCAAACAGG
rnacentral:rRNA from 1 species